rnacentral:snRNA from 1 species
AUGCUUGCUUCAGCAGCACAUAUAAUAAAAUUGGAAUCAUACAGAGAAGAUUAGUACGGCCUCUGCACAAGGAUGACAUGCAAAUUCACAAAGCAUUGCAUAUUUUU